rnacentral:rRNA from 1 species
UACGAAGGGGGCUAGCGUUGCUCGGAAUCACUGGGCGUAAAGGGUGCGUAGGCGGGUUUUCCAAGUCUGCUGUUAAAGCGCGAGGCUUAACCUCGUACAGGCAGUGGAAACUGGAUGACUAGAGUAUGGUAGGGGUAGCGGGAAUUCCCAGUGUAGCGGUGAAAUGCGUAGAUAUUGGGAAGAACACCAGCGGCGAAAGCGCGCUACUGGGCCAUUACUGACACUCAUGGACGAAAGCUAGGGGAGCGAAAGGG